rnacentral:rRNA from 1 species
ACCUACGGGGCGCAGCAGUGGGGAAUAUUGCACAAUGGGGGAAACCCUGAUGCAGCGACGCCGCGCGAGUGAGGAAGUAUUUCGGUAUGUAAAGCUCUAUCAGCAGGGAAGAAAAUGACGGUACCUGACUAAGAAGCCCCGGCUAACUACGUGCCAGCAGCCGCGGUAAUACGUAGGGGGCAAGCGUUAUCCGGAUUUACUGGGUGUAAAGGGAGCGUAGACGGAAUAGCAAGUCUGAAGUGAAAGCCCGCGGCUCAACUGCGGAACGGCUUUGGAAACUUUGUAACUGGAGUGUUGGAGAGGAA